AACGAACGCUGGCGGCAGGCCUAACACAUGCAAGUCGAACGCCGUAGCAAUACGGAGUGGCAGACGGGUGAGUAACACGUGGGAACGUACCUUUCGGUUCGGAAUAACUCAGGGAAACUUGAGCUAAUACCGGAUACGUGCGAGAGCAGAAAGAUUUAUCGCCGAAAGAUCGGCCCGCGUCCGAUUAGCUUGUUGGUGAGGUAACGGCUCACCAAGGCGACGAUCGGUAGCUGGUCUGAGAGGAUGAUCAGCCACACUGGGACUGAGACACGGCCCAGACUCCUACGGGAGGCAGCAGUGGGGAAUAUUGGACAAUGGGCGCAAGCCUGAUCCAGCCAUGCUGCGUGAGUGAUGACGGCCUUAGGGUUGUAAAGCUCCUUCGCCAGGGACGAUAAUGACGGUACCUGGAUAAGAAGCCCCGGCUAACUUCGUGCCAGCAGCCGCGGU
rnacentral:rRNA from 1 species